rnacentral:rRNA from 1 species
GGAGUCUGGGCCGUGUCUCAGUCCCAAUGUGGCCGUUCAACCUCUCAGUCCGGCUACUGAUCGUCGACUUGGUGAGCCGUUACCUCACCAACUAUCUAAUCAGACGCGAGCCCAUCUUUGAGUGAUAAAUCUUUGGUAGUCCUAUCAUGCGGUAAAACUACGUUAUGAGGUAUUACCAUCCGUUUCCAGAAGCUAUCCCUCUCUCAAAGGCAGGUUGCUCACGUGUUACUCACCCGUCCGCCACUAAGAUAAUCCAAGUAAACUCAAAUUAUCUCCGUUCGACUUGCAUGUGUUAAGCGUGCCGCCAGCGUUCGUCUGAGCCACUGAUCAAACUCU